AUGUCCAAAACCUCCAUUGUUAUGAGGUCCGUUUUGUUUCUUUUUCUUCAAUGUCCAAAUACUCCUUGAUGUUUUAGCUUACACAAGAUCAAUUCCUCUCUAUAUCUGUUGAUUAAAAAAAACGAGAAAAUUGUGAACUUUAAAAGCUUUUGUACGUAUCUUUUGCGUGAAGCUAUUCUGGAGCUCCAGUGGGGUGAACCACUAUUGCUCCAUCACCUAGCUCCUAGAAGUCCAAAACUUCAAUGCAAAACUAAAAACAGUCCACGGUUUUUCAAUCGUUCUACACCAUUUUCCCCUCGUUCACCUUCCACUUUUUCGCUUCUCAAAUCCAGCUUACGCUUUCCUAAGACAAGGUGCGGUAAAUGCUUACAGACUGUGAAGACUGGGCAAGGCACUGAAAUUGCAUCAAUUUCAUCGCUGACGAUGACGGUUGCUUGAUUUGCAGCUCCGGCGGGGUCGAUAAUAAGGUUCGAUGGUUGAAUUGAAUUGGGGAAGAAGAAGAAGAAAGAAUUUCAGUCAUUGUUAAUCGUUCGAAACUCAUUAGCAACUUGAAAUCAGUUUGGGAAUUUUUGAAUUUGGAGAAGAAGAAGAAGAUGGAUGCUCGGGCUGGGGCGUGGAGAUGGAUGCUAGAGCUGGGUGGGAAAUAUUGUAACUUCUUUUUUGUGUGUUAUUUUUUAAUUUAGACGCGCCUUUUUUUAAUUAAACAAUUAUGUUUUUUCCACGUCAGAUUUAUUGGUUUAAAUUUUUUAUUUUUAAGUAGUUUAGGUGUGUAUUAGGUCACUCCAAUAGUUUGGAUGUGUUUAGACUUUUCGAGGUGGAAACGAUGACUUUUCUCUUUAUAAAUAUGAACCAAACUCAACUCAAACAUGAAUAGUGAUCCAACUUGUUUUUAACAACCCAACUUACCUCUCUUCAACAUCAUAAGAAGCAGCUACAUACCCCAGCUGCUCAAUGUUGAGGACAAGCUUAUCUGGGACACAAAUCAUGAUGGUAAAUUCACCCUUAGCAGUGCGUAGAUGCCAACAGGGAUAACCCCCGAAGCAUUGAGAACCGAGAUUAUCUUUGGGUCUGGAACCUUCACACACCCAACAAAAUCAAAAUAUUCCUUUGGCUCCUCAUUCACCGAAGACUGCCAACCGGUAGAUACCUCCAUCAUGUAGGCCUUAAUGUGUCUCCCCUAUGAAAGCAUUGUCAUGCCAUCCGAGAGGACAUAAACCCACAUUUUCUUCACAUGUCCUAAAGCUAUAUCCUUCUGGAACAGGCUAACCAGAGGCGGAGCCAGAAUUUCAAUGAAGGGGGUUCUAUAUUCAAAGAAAACUUCGGAUUUCAACUAAGGAGGUUCCAUAUUCAAAGAAAACUUAGUCGAAGGGGGUUCAACACCUACUAUAACCACAUAAAAAAUAAUUUUAAUCAUGUAUAAAUAGUAUAUUUUUCCGUCGAAGGGGUUCAGCCGAACCCUCGAACAGAAGGCUGGCUCCGCCCCUGAGGCUAACUCUUCUCAGCACCACCAUUGCUACCUGGGACCAUCAUACCAUCAAUGUUGAUAACUGACCUAACACUUAGCUCUUAAAGGAAAACCUUUCUACUCCUUUUGCUCUUGGGAAACCAUCUUCCUUUUUGUUUUUGGAAUAUAUGGCUUUCUAGGAAUGAUUAUCUCUUCAACAUCAAGGCAGUAGAAAUCUCUGCAGAACACAACAUAGCUUUCGCCAUAGAGUACGCGCUCCUGGUGGAUACAAAAGGAACCCACUCGAAUCCUACAAUAACCGUCUACCUCAAGUGGAAUCCCCCGGAUCUGGGUACUUAUAAGCUGAAUACUAAUGCGAGUGUGAGAACACAAACUGGGCAAGGCCGAAUAAGUGGAGGUUUUAGAAAUCAUAAGGGGAGUGCGUUCUAGCUAAGCAAAGCUCCUUGCAGUUCUUGAGGGCCUACGACUAGCUAUGGUACUUACUCGAGAGGUUGGGAGCACCAGUCAUGAAGCAUACAUAUCGGGAACAGAAUAGAGUCGCUGAUGCACUGGCAAAGUCGGAAAAUGGGGACUUACCUUUUGAUCAACUGCAGGUUUUGACAGCUCCUCCAUUGUGCGUAGCUGAGUCUUUGGCAGCAGACAAUGUAGGAAGCACUUUCCCUAGGAAAGUUGCAAGUUGUAAUAGGAACUUUUCAAACUAUGUACAAGCCCAAACUCAUUCAAGGGCUCCUUUCGAAUUUGUUGUUCUUACUUGUCUGUAGAACCUUAACGUUCUUUUGAAUAUCAUCUCUUUAACCAAAAAAAAAACAGUUCACCCAUUGACACCUUUUGAACACUAAUAUACUAAUUUAAAUUUGAUUUAUGGAUAAUUACACAAAUCUCCACUAAGAUAUCGACGUUGUCACAAAUGCCUCACUUUAUAAUUUUAUAUACUAGUACUCCUUUCAUCAUAAUUUAUAUUAUAAUGUUUGAAUAGGCAUGGAGAUUAAAAAUGAAAGGAAGACUCUUUUGAAACUUGUUUUUUAAAAUAAACAUCCUCAUUGCGACUUCUGCGAGUAUACAACAACAACAACAUACCCAGUGUAUGAACCUAGUGGGGUCUAGGGAGGGUAGAGUGUACGUAAUCCAUACCACUACCUCAGGUGAAGUACAGAGAUUGUUUCCGAUAGACCCCCGGCUUAGAAUCAAUAACAAUAUAACAGACACAAUACAUAAAAUGCAUAUAAACUUGUACAGUAUGCAAAAAUAAACUAACGACGCUAGCCACAAGAUAUCCUUUUCUGCGAGUAUAUUAACUUUUUUUCAAAGGAACAUGGACCUAAGGUUAGAGCCAAUAUAUCCUUAUCUAUGGAUAUUUCAGUUCUAAUGCCCUACCUGAGAGCUAUCAUUGUUUAGUAGCUUUCCUCCUAUAUAAUAGACCACUAUUGAAUCAAAUUACAAAGAAAUUAUCGAGAAAAAGAUUUAUUCUUUUCAGAUAAUAUGAAAUAAGAUUUAUGCCACUAGAAAAACAUUUCCUUUUUCUGUUUACGCAACAUGCUAUCAGGAAGGUAGAUAUACAUGUCAAGAAAUGAACCUUGGGCCUAACUCAACCUCAAAAGCUAGCUCUUUAAGGGAAGGAUUACCCAAGUCCAUAUAAGUAAACCACUAGU